GCCCUCCCAGGGUUUUACCUGGAGAGUUCCCAGUAUUCUACCAGCCUUGACUAUGGGAGGGAGAGUCAAGCAGAGGCCUAUCCAUUCCUAGCUUAGGCAGUGGGUAGCGAGUGGAAGGCAAUCUGCUACAAGU